AACAAAAAAGAAAGGGCUCCAAUUUGGUAAAAAUGGAAAAGGCCUGAUCUAAGUUACCCAAGCCCGGCCAAUCAAUUUGCGCGGCCCGGAAAUUCAAUCCAAUUCACCACAUGCACAAGCCCACAAGAUCAUUUAAAAAGCCCACAUAGCCCGUAAAAAGAAAAAGCCCAUGACACUUGAAAAGGUAGAACACCGCCCCCCCUUCUCUCUUUCUGGAGAGAUUUAACCAUUAUCCUCUUCUGGUACCCUCUCCUUCGCUGGCCACCAAUCGACGCCAACAUCCGCCGUUCACCAUAUCCAACCGCAAUCCCUCUGGUCGCUGGCCGACAGAGAACCGAGAAUACCAGAGCAAAGAGCAGGACAUGAAAAAUUUCAUCAUCCCUGAUCAAGAGGAUUCCUUACCUUCGGGACCACAAAUCGACGCUAGCGUUCCCCGCUCAUCACCUCCAAUCGUCGAAUACUUCCAUAUUUUCCAGUUGCUGGCCACCAUAGACGAAGUUCAGUGAGAUCUCUCUCUCUCUCUUUCUCUCUCUCUCUCUCUCUCUCUCUAUUUAAGGAUUUCCUUAGCCUAAUUUAUCUUCUCCAAAGUUGUCAGGCCACUGACAAUCAUCGCCAUUGCGUUCGACGUUUCCUAGCUGAAAUCGAACCAGCUCUGUUUGCCCCUGUUUCUAGCCAAGGAGCCCGAAGCGUUCAGCUCUUUCUCAAGACUCUUCCACAUGUUCCUAAGAUCCAUUUAUAACAGAAGGAGCAUGACAAAAUCUUCCCAUGUAAAAGGGUGCUUAAAAUAAUUAAAAGAAACUUACAGUUUAAUAAACAUGUUUUUGGGAAAGCCCCACGUCUAUGUGGAGUGCGUCCUUAGAUAAUUUGGGAGGUGGACCGGUUAAGAUGUGCAAAGAAUGACCCGUAUAUCACUUAAUCGCCAAACCAAAAUACCAAGAUGAGCUUUUAUUUUUUCUUUUUUUUUAACAAACGCAUCCGUUUCGAGAAUAAAAAAUAUAUCCCAUGCCUUCAUAGUCUUCAAAUAGAUAAGUGGAAUGCAUCUUUCUUCGAUAAAUCUAGCAUAAAUAUAGGCUUUCCUAUCGUAGGAAGGCGCAAUCAUAUUAUAACGAUCGUAAGUUGCAGAAAUUAUUUAAAUUCCACAAGAGUAUAAAACGGGCACAUUGUCAUCGAACUUGUUUUUUCUAUGAAGAGCUAGAGUCUAGACUAUAGAGAUGGUCCAUCGUGGUUGGAUGAACAUAAAUUGACUAAGUGUUUGAACUUACCAAAGAAUCAAUUCAUGUAGACUUCUUCAUGAACUAAUCAAUCCUUCUGCUUUUCAGUAACUCAUCUACGGAUUCCCGCUUCCCUGAUGACGUGCGUAUCCACGUGAAGUUAUUGAAGGGAAAUUUUUCUUCCUCUUCGCAAUCAUCUUGGUUGAGGAAAGCAGCCUUUUUUUUUCAAAUGAAUUUGAGCCUAGUUCGCAUUGAGAGGCCAUCUCUGCCAAUUUUUUAACACUGUCCAACUUGUGGGAAGAACCUUGUCCACUCUCAACUACAAAACACUACCGCGAUUGCAGUUAUUUACAUUUUAAUCUCAAAGAAUGCUUCUUGUUGAGAAUUACGCCCAUUAACUUGCUUCUUACGAAUUUGGGAAACUGUUACUCAAAAGUGUAGACAGUUUUAGAGAGAGAAGUUUGAUUAUUGGAACUUGAUGGAAACUCUUUUGAUCAAAUUAUCUACAAGAUUUGUUUUCUGACACUGAUGUACAUAUUUGAUUGACUGAAUUACGCAUGAUGCUCUGCACGCUGGGAUGACCUGAAGCUUUGGGCAAGACCAGACAAAUAGCUUGAUCGGGAUAAAGAGAAACCAUGAACAAGAAUAGAAGAGCUCAUCACACUCAUGAGGAAAUAUUUCCUAGUAACCUCCUUGAUCCGAGCACAUUUUGAAUUCAUUUCAUAAUUAAAUUAUAUAAAAUCGAACAGAAACAGAUAUAAAUAUAACUAAUGGUAGGAUCAGAUGAAAGCUUAAAUACCUUUUCUUUGGAUGUCCGCUGCUCCUGCUUGUUGGCUAGGUGUUACUAUUCUCCAUGACUUCCAUAUUGACAGGCAAUUACAAGGUUGAUGUUCAGAGUUCCACUGGGCCCAUGAAACAUCUGAAGUGGAAAGCAUUCUAUGAUUUGAAGCUUCAUCAACAUAAGUCUUUUGAUGUUGAACAGAUCAAGCGACAUAUUAUCUUUGUGAUGUUUAUUGUUCCUUUUGCAGUUAAUAUGAAUUCAUUCUUUGAUUUAACUUUGAGCAUG
rnacentral:lncRNA from 1 species